AGUAAACGCUUUGCUGCAAAAGGAUCUUGGUGUCUGUGUGCGUUCUUGCUGGCAAGAUGAUAGCGCGGGAUAUUUGGUGCCGAAACCCGGGAAAAAAAUGCCUCACCAUCGCCAGCGCCGAGGAGACCCUCAGCUCUCGGAGAGGAUUCAGAAUUGCAGGACGAAGAUACUUCCUUCACCAGUGGGUAGAAGCAGAUGCAGAGAUCUACAGGCAAAAUCAGGCAGAGUCAUGCUGAAGAGUGGAAGAAAGAAUUAAAGAGAAUAUGCCAGAAGAUAGUCACCAUGUUCUGCUAAAUCACAUCUGUCUUUCAUGCAUGAAGCAGGCAGAGCCUUUGACUCAUUGCAUGAGUAAGAAUUGAACAUAAAUCUGUGACACAAUUGGAAAAUUGGU
rnacentral:sRNA from 1 species